GACGAACGCUGGCGGCGUGCUUAACACAUGCGAGUCGAACGGAAAGGCUCUGCUUUUGUGGGGUGCUCGAGCGGCGAACGGGUGAGUAACACGUGAGUAACCUGCCCUUGACUUUGGGAUAACUUCAGGAAACUGGGGCUAAUACCGGAUAGGAGCUCCUGCUGCAUGGUGGGGGUUGGAAAGUUUCGGCGGUUGGGGAUGGACUCGCGGCUUAUCAGCUUGUUGGUGGGGUAGUGGCUUACCAAGGCUUUGACGGGUAGCCGGCCUGAGAGGGUGACCGGCCACAGUUGGACUGAGAGACGGCGCAGACUCCAACGGGAGGCAGCAGUGGGGAAUAUUGCACAAUGGGCGGAAGCCUGAUGCAGCAACGCCGCGUGCGGGAUGACGGCCUUCGGGUUGUAAACCGCUUUCGCCUGUGACGAAGCGUGAGUGACGGUAAUGGGUAAAGAAGCACCGGCUAACUACGUG
rnacentral:rRNA from 1 species